rnacentral:piRNA from 1 species
UCUCACUUCAGUUGAAAUGAUCACUCUACCC